rnacentral:pre_miRNA from 1 species
GGUCUCCCUCUCUGGGGCAAUCGAUCGUGAGGCUCCCAGAUCGAUUGCCCUGCAGAGGGAGGCC